GCUCUAAAUAUAGCGACGCACUUGAGUUACAAGGCAUGGUGCUACACAAAUGACACUCCUCUCCAGAGACAUACACUGCAAUGCACUGUAUUUUCACACUUAGCUUCCAAGAUGAUACAGGUAGUAAGUCACAUUAGUGCUGACUCGGAAAGAGCAUUCCUGCUCAUCAAUCAUCAGCAACAGGAGGAGUUCAUUAAAGAAAUGGGUAAACCACAACAUUUGAUUGCCCUGAUGAAGAGCCUCUACUCAGGAUUAAAUGCCACUGUCAAGAAACAGUAUGAAGAAAAAGAAUGGUUUCCAAUUGGCAAGCGGGUCAAGCAAGGCUUCAUUUAAUCACCCUCUCUGUUUAAGUUGUAUGCUGAAUGUGUAUGUAAAGAUGGAUUAGACUUGGAGGAAGAAGACAUAAAAAUUGGAGGAAGAAACAUCAGCAAUUUCAAAUAUGCACAUGACACCAUUCUACUAGCAGAAAAUGGAAAAACCCUAGAACAAUUACUGAAGAAAGUCAAGGAAGAAACUGCAAAGGCGGGUUUACAGAUAAAAGAAAAUGAAAAUAAUUACCACUAAUGAUUUACAUAACUUUAAAGCACACAAUGAAGACAGUGAAAUACUAAAAGAUUUUCUAUGUCUUGGCUCAGUCAUUAAUCAAAACAGAAACUACAGUCAAUACAUAAGAAGAAUUGGAUUUGGAGAAGCAGUUAUGAAGGAACUGGAAAAAUCUUUAUUCACACUGUAUAUAUCCGAUUUGCAUUUAUUCCACAUCUGCCUUAUUAGCACAACAAACAAUACACCACACACUGUGGUGACUUUUCUGGGGGAACCCAUCUUGAUGUGAACUUUUUUUCAGAAAACUCCUCUUAUUUGUAAUAUGACAAACAUAUGGCAGUGGUUAUUUGGGUUUUUUGUUUGUUUUUGUUUUAAUUGUGUUAUGCAUGAUAAUAUAUGUAUUUCUGUCAAAUAUGUCUUUAGCCAUCCUGUUAUGUGAAGGUGCACUAAUACAGAUAUUCUAGUAAAAUGGUCUGUGAAUGUUCAUAUACUCAUUCUUUUUUUAAAAAAUUCUGCUGCUUCUUCACUCAUGUGCUUUUAACUUGUUUCUGAUUUAUAGUAUCCUUAAGGCAAAUCUGUCCCAGUGUUUCCUUGGCAAGUUUUGUUCGAAGAAAGUUUGCUACAGCCUUCCCUUGAGGCUAAGAGAUACCACUUGUCCAAGGUCACCCAGUGGGUUUCUACAGCUGAAUGAGGAUUCAAACUCUGGUCUUCAGAACCUAGUUCAUCACACUGACCAUGACAGCAGGAUGGCUCUUCCUCAAGUAGUGCAGUGACAGCAUUUAGAGCUUCCUAUGUUCCACUAGAGUUCCUUCAUGCACAUGCAUGGUAUAAUAAUAAUAUUUGCAGCCGGAGGUGUGGGCUAAGGCUUUUGGGUUGAAAGAUUCAAAAGAAGAAGAAAUUUAACAGUUCCUUUGUGCUUUCAGGGAUCGACACAACAUAAAAAUAGAUGAAAACAUUAAUUUCACAAAAACACACACACACAAACCCUGACAUGACAAUUGGCAAUUCCUUUAAAGCCUGGUUUGUCCACUGAAGUUAUUCCAAACAACAGUAGCUCUGUCAAUCGAUUGUGCCUUUCUAUGCAUAGUGUGAACUUUAACCCCAACCUGCCGCUGCAAAUACUGAAACUUGAUUAUGCCCCAAGGAAAUUUUAAAUUCAAUACAGUAAAAUGAAAAAUGACUAUAAGUGCUCCUGCAAAUACCAUAUGUCCACUUGCCUUAAGCAAGUCAUUUUCUUUGCAGGCAAGUACAAUAUAAUUAGUUCUUUUAUUAUCAUCCAUCAGCCUUGGAAACAAGACACAAGUGGAUUUUGUGCUUGGGAGAUUAGUGUUGUUUUUAUGGCAAUUUCAUAAAAUAACCAUAAUGGGUGAAAUCCAGUGGUGGUCUACUGACAGAAUUGCAUCCACUAGUGUUUCCCCCUUUUUCCCAACGGAAAUUUUACAGAUCUGAUACAAAUUAGGGAUUUUUCAGAAUACAUUUUUGGAGAGAGGAUAUGGAAACUGUUACUUGGAUAUGCUGGAACUAGUGCAGUAUGGCAUUGCACCAUGACUUUGGAGACAAGUGAACAAAGCCUUGCUCAGAACAAAUCUUCUCAAGAAAACCUUGUGAUAGUUUCACCUUAAGGUCAUCGUACAUCAGAUAUGACUUGAAGACAUGUAAUAAAAACAAUAAAUAUGCUUAAGGCAUCUUAUGCAAAUGUGGAUGCAGUUCAAAAUGGAUAUAAUUAUAUUACUGUUGAAAUCAUACAUAUAAAAUUUAAUAAUGUUA